rnacentral:rRNA from 1 species
GCGAGUGAAGCGGGAAGAGCUCAAAUUUGAAAUCUUCAAGGUUCUACCUUGACGAAUUGUAGUUUAAAGAAGUGUUUUCUGUUAGAGGAGUAGCAAAAGUUCCUUGGAAUGGGACAUCAUAGAGGGUGAGAAUCCCGUAUUUGGUUAUUCUUUCUAGCUUUGUGAUACACUUUCAAAGAGUCGGAUUGUUUGGGAAUGCAGUCCAAAAUGGGUGGUAAAUUUCAUCUAAAGCUAAAUAUUGGCGAGAGACCGAUAGCGAACAAGUACCGUGAGGGAAAGAUGAAAAGAACUUUGAAAAGAGAGUUAAACAGUACGUGAAAUUGUCAAAAGGGAAGCGUUUGACACCAGUGUUGUUUUUCCGAAAAUCAAUUAAGAAGGACUUGAUUUUGUGUUGUAUUGACCUUAUCAGCUUUCUUCACUCUUUUUCGAGUCUUUCUUAAUGCACUUUUCGGUUAACAAGUCAACAUCAAUUUCUUUUGUUGUAAAAGGGUAUUUGGAAGGUGGCUUUCUUUUCGGAGAAAGUGUUUAUAGCCUUAUACCUCUACAAUCGGGAGAGAUAGAGGGUCUGCAGCGUAGAUCCUUCGGGGCUAGAUACACUUGUGCUAAGUUAUAGCUUUUCAUAGACAACUUGUUGACUAUGUUUAGUCAUGUAGCUUACCCCGCUUGUGCUAUUUUACCUAC